GUACCUUCUCUUCGGAGCAGGGAGUGACAGGUGGUGCAUGGUUGUCGUCAGCUCGUGUCGUGAGAUGUUGGGUUAAGUCCCGCAACGAGCGCAACCCUUAUCUUUAGUAGCCAGCGGUUCGGCCGGGCACUCUAGAGAGACUGCCAGGGAUAACCUGGAGGAAGGGGGGGAUGACGUCAAAUCAUCUUGCCCCUUAUGACUUGGGCUACACACGUGCUACAAUGGCGUAAACAAAGGGAAGCAAAGCUGUGAGGCCGAGCAAAUCUCAAAAAUAACGUCUCAGUUCGGACUGUAGUCUGCAACCCGACUACCCAAAGCUGGAAUCCCUAGUAAUCCCAAAUCAAAAUGCUGCGGUGAAUACUUUCCCGGGUCUUG
rnacentral:rRNA from 1 species